rnacentral:rRNA from 1 species
AACGAACGCUGGCGGCGCACUUAACACAUGCAAGUCGAACGAGAAGGCGUAGCAAUACGCUUGUACAGUGGCGAACGGGUGAGGAAUACAUGGGUAACCUACCCUCGAGUGGGGGAUAACCCGCCGAAAGGCGGGCUAAUACCGCGUACGCUUCCGAUCUUGCGGGAUUGGAAGGAAAGCUGUCCCUUGGGGAUGGCGCUCAAGGAUGGGCUCAUGUCCUAUCAGCUUGUUGGAGGGUAACGGCCUACCAAGGCAUCGACGGGUAGCUGGUCUGAGAGGACGAUCAGCCACACUGGCACUGCGACACGGGCCAGACUCCUACGGGAGGCAGCAGUGAGGAAUAUUGCGCAAUGGGCGAAAGCCUGACGCAGCGACGCCGCGUGGGGGAUGAAGGUCUUCGGAUUGUAAACCCCUUUCGGGAGGGAAGACGGCC